AUAUUACAGUUUAGAGUGGUGGGUGAGUUGGGAGAAGAGCAAGUUUCAACCUUGGAAAGGAAGAUGAGGACACAAAGGUCAGCGAGCAUGGUACCCACAUUGACAAAGGCGCUGACGUGAACUAGGUCACCAAUCCAUCUGGUUUGGAGCCCCUUUUUGGUAACAUAAUGAAAAUAUGGGGAACAAACAUACAAUGUGUGUUUAUUUAAGUAUUCAACAAGUCUCUUACAAUUUAUUGAAAAAAUAAAAUGCAAAAGGAAAAUUAUCUAUUUUCUGUCUAAGUGAGUUGUCUAGGCAGGCACCUCAAUAGGUCUACGCACAUUUUCUUAAUUUUCAAAUGCCUAGGCAUUAAUUGGGUUGGUGGCCAACUACUUAGCACCUAGGCGAGGUCUAGGUGGCUCUAGGUGCGGAUUUUUAGAACAGUGUUAGUAAGAGAAUGUGGCAGAAGCGUAAAUGAUUGCAAUUGGUGCACCAUUUCACCUCUCUCGAAUCCUACAAAAGAUGGAAAGUUGGUGAUGGUCAUUCAGUCGAGUUCCCGAAGCCCUUACGGAUCAUCCCAAAGUCGGAUGUGGAGGUUUUCGUCGACGUCUUGACGAGUUAGGUGGGUUCGUCGAGUUAAGUUCACUUUCGGUCGUCAUUCAAACAAUUGAAUAUGAACUCAAUGUCCAUAUAUCCCUAACAACCUAUCAUUUUUUUUGUGUACCAGCGAUAAACUGGACUUAUUUGGAUUGGCUACCGUGGGUCGAGAUUUUUUUACCGCACUUUUUCAGUUCGAAGGUACUUUGAACAACAAUAAUGCAUUUGACCUUGGAUUCAACACAUCAACGUUGGCAUUUACCUUUUGAGGAAGUGAUCAACGGAGCAUCCUAGAGAUUUCGGGGUGCGGUGGACAAUUGUUGACUUCUAUUUAUGGGAAAAAAUGAAGCAGGAACAUGCACAAUUUGAGACCCUUGUUGUAGGAAAUGGUAAGGGCAAGUCCAAGGCAAAGGCAAAAGAAGCUCUGGUUUUUAAGCACUUGAUGAAGGUUAUGUCAGUUGAUGCAACUGUGACGCCACAUA